ACACUCCUACGGGAGGCAGCAGUGGGGAAUUUUGGACAAUGGGCGAAAGCCUGAUCCAGCAAUGCCGCGUGAGUGAAGAAGGCCUUCGGGUUGUAAAGCUCUUUUGUCAGGGAAGAAACGGUGAGAGCUAAUAUCUCUUGCUAAUGACGGUACCUGAAGAAUAAGCACCGGCUAACUACGUGCCAGCAGCCGCGGUAAUACGUAGGGUGCAAGCGUUAAUCGGAAUUACUGGGCGUAAAGCGUGCGCAGGCGGUUUUGUAAGUCUGAUGUGAAAUCCCCGGGCUCAACCUGGGAAUUGCAUUGGAGACUGCAAGGCUAGAAUCUGGCAGAGGGGGGUAGAAUUCCACGUGUAGCAGUGAAAUGCGUAGAUAUGUGGAGGAACACCGAUGGCGAAGGCAGCCCCCUGGGUCAAGAUUGACGCUCAUGCACGAAAGCGUGGGGAGCAAACAGGAUUAGAAACCCUAGUAGUCCCAUG
rnacentral:rRNA from 1 species